CAAAUACUCCCUCCGUCCGGAAAUACUUGUCGGAGAAAUGGAUGUAUCUAGAUGUAUUUUAGUUAUAGAUACAUUCAGUUUUAUCCAUCUCCCCGACAAGUAUUUCGGGACCGGGGGGGGUAUAUA
rfam:Triticum aestivum genome assembly, contig: Triticum_aestivum_CS42_TGACv1_scaffold_220986_3B